CACCCGAUAGCACAUGGUGUGCACCUGCGUAGUUUAGUUGUGUACCCGAAAAUAAGGCAGGAGGUCCCCCGUUCGAUUCGGGGUUGGGUGA